rnacentral:lncRNA from 1 species
AUGAUUUUUCUCCAUGGAGAGAGAGAGAGAGAGUGUGUGUGUGUGUGUGUGUGUGUGUGUUUAAAGCCUCCUUCCUUUCCCUCACUUUCUGGCACUGUAGCUGCUUUCUGGCUCGUUUGCUCUCUCUCCCAGCCUCCACACAGUAGCCAGAAUCUGCCCUCCAAAAGGCAGAUGUUACCAUGUUACUUCAUAACUUAAAACACCCUCAGUGGUUCACCGUUGUCUGCCAGAUUACCUUCAAACUCCUUGGUGUGCUGAACAAGGAAUUCAGAUAUCUGGCCCCUUCAACCUCCAGUCUUAUCGCUCAUCAUAUUUUCUCUUGCGUUUGCUUAACUGAUGGUAUCACACUUCUCCCAGCUCCCUGAACACAAGAGCCUGUUUCACUGAUUCCUCAGCCUGGAAUCACUUCCAUUACCCCAUCCAAGACUCUGGGGCCAGUUUUGCUAUACUCAAAGAUUCACAAAGAACAGAAGUAAAACCUAUGAAUCACUGAAGUAGUUACCAGUAAAAGUGUAUUGUGCACACAACCAAAAGACAGCAAACUGGUAACACUCAAACCAAAAUAUGCAAUGAGGCUUAGAGGUAUAUUGUUAUCAAGCAGUGUAUAUAGUGUGAAGGCAGUGAGUGUGUUGUCUUUUCAGUGAUUGGUUAAAACAUUACAAUUUUUCUUUCUUUUUUUUUUUUUUUGCAGUUUAAACUUCAAACAUUGAAUAUUUUAUUCAACUGCUUUUCUUUCUUAUUUCUAAAUUCUUUUUAUUAUACAAGUUUCAGGUGUAUAGCAUUAUAGGUUGCACUAGUAGUAAAGAACCUGCCUGCCAAUGCAGGAGAUAUAAGAGACCUAGGUUCAAUCCCUGGGUUGGGAAGAUCCCCUGGAGGAGAACUUGGCAAUCCACUCCAGUAUUGCCUGGAGAAGCCCACGCACAGAGGAGCCAGGUGGGCUAUAUUUCAUGGGGUCGAAGAAUCCCUCACGACUGAAGCAAUUUAGUAGACAUUCUGCAAAGGCAUCACUACCAUAAGUCUAGUUAUUAACCAUCACCAUACAAUUGACUCCCUUCAUCUAUUUGCCUAUGCCCCCGGGAGAAUUUACUUAAAUGAAAAGGGAAUUGGUUAGUGGUUACCUCAUGCCAGUUUUGGGGACUUAAAUAUU